GGCGGCGUGCCUAAUACAUGCAAGUAGAACGCUGAAGCUUGGUGCUUGCACCGAGCGGAUGAGUUGCGAACGGGUGAGUAACGCGUAGGUAACCUGCCUGGUAGCGGGGGAUAACUAUUGGAAACGAUAGCUAAUACCGCAUAAUAGCAGUUGUUGCAUGACAACUGUUUAAAAGGUGCAAUUGCAUCACUACCAGAUGGACCUGCGUUGUAUUAGCUAGUUGGUGGGGUAACGGCUCACCAAGGCGACGAUACAUAGCCGACCUGAGAGGGUGAUCGGCCACACUGGGACUGAGACACGGCCCAGACUCCUACGGGAGGCAGCAGUAGGGAAUCUUCGGCAAUGGACGGAAGUCUGACCGAGCAACGCCGCGUGAGUGAAGAAGGUUUUCGGAUCGUAAAGCUCUGUUGUAAGAGAAGAACGAGUGUGAGAGUGGAAAGUUCACACUGUGACGUAUCUA
rnacentral:rRNA from 1 species